rnacentral:rRNA from 1 species
UACGAAAGGGGCUAGCGUUGUUCGGAAUUACUGGGCGUAAAGCGCACGUAGGCGGCCUUGUAAGUUGGGGGUGAAAUCCCGGGGCUCAACUCCGGAACUGCCUCCGAAACUACGGAGCUCGAGUCCGGGAGAGGAGAGUGGAAUUCCGAGUGUAGAGGUGAAAUUCGUAGAUAUUCGGAAGAACACCAGUGGCGAAGGCGGCUCACUGGCCCGGUUCUGACGCUGAGGUGCGAAAGCGUGGGGAGCAAACAGG